AACGCACAUUGCGCCCUUUGGUAUUCCGAAGGGCAUGCCUGUUCGAGCGUCAUUAUAACCACUCACGCCCUCGCGUGGUCUUGGGGCACGCGGUCUCGCGGCCCCUAAAACCAGUGGCGGUGCCUGUCGGCUCUACGCGUAGUAAUACUCCUCGCGAUUGAGUCCGGCGGGUGGCUUGCCAGCAACCCCCCAUUUUUUCAGGUUGACCUCGGAUCAGGUAGGGAUACCCGCUGAACUUAA
rnacentral:misc_RNA from 1 species